rnacentral:rRNA from 1 species
CAAUUUGAUGGUAGGAUAGAGGCCUACCAUGGUUUUUACGGGUGACGGAGAAUUAGGGUUCGAUUCCGGAGAGGGGAGCCUGAGAGAUGGCUACCACUUCUAAGGAAGGCAGCAGGCGCGCAAAAUUACCCAAUCCUGAUACAGGGGAGGUAGUGACAAGAAAUAACAAUACAGGUCCCAAUACGGGCCUUGUAAUUGGAAUGAGUAUAAUUUAAACCCCUUAAUGAGUAACAAUUGGAGGGCAAGUCUGGUGCCAGCAGCCGCGGUAAUUCCAGCUCCAAUAGCAUAUAUUAAAAUUUGUUGCAGUUAAAAAAGCUCGUAGUUGGAUCUCGGAACAGGGAAUAACUGGUCUGCCGGUUGGUAUGUACUGUUGUUCCCGUUCUCUACUGAUGGAAACUUAUCUCUACUCUUAAAUGAGUCGGAGAGUAGAUCAGUAGAAUGAAUGUUGUUUUCGAACUCAUUCAUUCUAAUUACUCCUACUUUUGUAAGUUCCAUCUCUAUUUACUUUGAAUAAAUUAG